rnacentral:rRNA from 1 species
AUACGUAGGGGGCGAGCGUUGUCCGGAAUGAUUGGGCGUAAAGGGCGCGUAGGCGGCCUGUUAAGUCUGUAGUGAAAGUCCCGUUUUCAAGAUGGGAAUUGCUUUGGAUACUGAUGGGCUUGAGUGCAGGAGAGGUUAUCGGAAUUCCCGGUGUAGCGGUGAAAUGCGUAGAGAUCGGGAGGAACCCCAGUGGCGAAGGCGGGUAACUGGACUGCAACUGACGCUGAGGCGCGAAAGUGUGGGGAGCAAACAGGAUUAGAUACCCUGGUAGUCCACACUGUAAACGAUGAAUGCUAGGUGUAAGAGGUAUCGGCCCCUUUUGUGCCGGAGUUAACACAAUAAGCAUUCCGCCUGGGGAGUACGGCCGCAAGGUUGAAACUCAAAGGAAUUGACGGGG